GUAGCUAUGUACGGAAUGCAUAAGCUCUGAAAGCAUCUCAGUGCGAAGACAAAUUCAAGAUAAGAGUUUCCUCCGAAAGGGUAAGACCCCAGAAAUACUAGCUGGUUGAUAGGUCGAAGGUGUAAGGUCAGCAAUUUAUUUACCUUAUCGAUACUAAUAGUUCGAGGACUUGACCAAU
rnacentral:rRNA from 1 species